UCAACCUGGAAAAAAGCCACCCUGUUAGUUACAGUGCAUUAUCAUGAAAAAAAUAUGCAUUAAUUGCAAACUUGCAUAUCCAAGGAACACAGAAUUAUUUGAUGGCUCUGCUGUGCAAAUAAGGGGUAUAUUGAUCCGCAUUUAACCAAUCCCAGUGAGCAUGCGCAAGCACACACGCACACACGCGCACACACUCCUCUUUUUUUCUAGGCGGUUCCAAUCUGUUCUGUGUAUUCAUCUUUUUUUUACAGUCUGUCGUAUUCAUUCAUCCAGAUCAUCCAGUCAAAAGGCUUUUUCGACUUCAUACGGCGCCAAAAGAACUGACAGGCUGACGAUGACGUCAAAGUAUCGCGAAAGCGAUUCGAGGAGUCUGCUUUCAAAUCGCUCUCGCGGAACUUUGACGUUGUACGUCUGUCAGUUGAUCUGGUUUAAUGUGAUUCGCGCUCUUUAUCCGUUGCAACUUGCUGUCUGAGGUAAAUAAGACGAGAAAGUUGAACCUUGCUCAUUAAAUGGAUAAAAGAAAACCAUGUAAGAGUUGGUUUGGAUAAAUAUGCGAAGGACAAUAAAUGUUAAGUGACCCAAAGACGGUUGGUCUUGUGGACAACGAGGAACAAACCGCCUAAAGGCGGUUGGACAGCGUUUCCAGCACAAAUACUCAACGUGAACGAGAGCCUUGGGUAAAAAAAGGCAGAGUACCAGUGGUUAAAGACACACAAAAUGUGGACAUCAAAACAAAUGGCUACAUUUGCUCGUGAGGAAGAUGAUAACGAAGAGGAUGAGACUCCUUCAAACCAUAAGAUAGUGGAUGAUUCACACUCAACUGCAAAGCAAUGAAAGAACACAUCUGUCACUAAAUUGAACCCAGUCACCUUGGAUUAUGCCCAAAAGUGUAUUACAAGAAACUCACCAGAACUGUGAUGGACUCCAUUUCCACCUUAGAAAAAAUGACAACAUGCUCCGUCACAGGGAAAAA